GCUGGGCACAGUGGCGCAUGCCUGUAAUCUUAGUGGCUUGGGAGGCUGAGGCAGGAAGAUUGUGAGUUCAAAGCCAGCCUCAG
rnacentral:sRNA from 1 species